CAAUAGCGUAUAUUAAAGUUGUUGCAGUUAAAAAGCUCGUAGUUGGAUUUCGGGGCAGCCUGGCUGGUCCGCCGCAAGGCGAGUACUGGUCAGCCGCCCUUCCUCUCGAAAGCCCCGACUGCUCUUCGUUGCAGUGGUCGGGUAGUUCGGGACGUUUACUUUGAAAAAAUUAGAGUGUUCAAGGCAGGCCUACGCCUGAAUACAUUAGCAUGGAAUAAUGGAAGAGGACCUCGGUCCUAUUUUGUUGGUUUCCAGGGCCGAAGUAAUGAUUAAGAGGGACAGUUGGGGGCAUUCGUAUUUAAUUGUCAGAGGUGAAAUUCUCGGAUUUAUGAAAGACGAACAACUGCGAAAGCAUUUGCCAAGGAUGUUUUCAUUAU
rnacentral:rRNA from 1 species